rnacentral:rRNA from 1 species
UACGUAGGGGGCAAGCGUUGUCCGGAAUCAUUGGGCGUAAAGCGCACGUAGGCGGCCCUGUAAGUCCGUUGUGAAAGUCAAAGGCUCAACCUUUGAAUGCCGAUGGAUACUGCAGGGCUAGAGUCCGGAAGAGGCGAGUGGAAUUCCUGGUGUAGCGGUGAAAUGCGUAGAUAUCAAGAGGAACACCUGAGGUGAAGACGGGUUGCUGGGCUGACACUGACGCUGAGGCGCGAAAGCCAGGGGAGCAAACGGG